rnacentral:misc_RNA from 1 species
UUGCGUCGUUCCGGAAAAGUCGCUUGCGUCGUUCCGGAAAAGUCGCUUGCGUCGUUCCGGAAAAGUCGCUUGCGUCGUUCCGGAAAAGUCGC